AGCGAACGCUGGCGGCAGGCCUAACACAUGCAAGUCGAACGAACCUUUCGGGGUUAGUGGCGGACGGGUGAGUAACACGUGGGAACGUGCCUUUAGGUUCGGAAUAACUCAGGGAAACUUGUGCUAAUACCGAAUGUGCCCUUCGGGGGAAAGAUUAAUCGCCUUUAGAGCGGCCCGCGUCUGAUUAGCUAGUUGGUUGAGGUAAUGGCUCACCAAGGCGACGAUCAGUAGCUGGUCUGAGAGGAUGAUCAGCCACAUUGGGACUGAGACACGGCCCAAACUCCUACGCGAGGCAGCAGUGGUGAAUCUUGCGCAAUGGGCGAAAGCCUGACGCAGCCAUGCCGCGUGAAUGAUGAAGGUCUUAGGAUUGUAAAAUUCUUUCACCGGGGACGAUAAUGACGGUACCCGGAGAAGAAGCCCCGGCUAACUUCGUG
rnacentral:rRNA from 1 species